GGCUGGAUGGAAAAAACAUUAUAAUAGAGAGAAAUCAGAUCAAUAUCAUAUUGUAGAGUAUAGAGACAAAAGAAACAGCACUCUGAUUAGAUGAUCACAGAUAUCUGAAAAUACAUUAUUCCCUCAGCUUAGUUGUAAUAAACAGUCUGCUGAACCGUUUUACAUGAAAUAACAAUAGAAUAGAAACUAAUACUGAGUUUGGAGUCAUUGUGCAGGUGCACAUGUCAUGAUGGUUCUCAGCUCUCAGUGAUGUUCUUUAUUCUGACAGAGACACAAUCAUUCCAACAGAUGUUUUGACUCCUGUCAUCAAUAAUGAAAUGAACUAGAGCUGAAAACUAUCCGACUAACACUGAACCAAACUUAAUAUGAACAAACACGACACACACGUCCGCUGCUCUGCUCUUUACCAGCUCGUCCAGACACGACAGUUCACCGUAAUAACGGGAUCGUUUAGUGACCGUGAUGUUCGGUAACGUCACCUUCGCUUUGCAGAACUCAUUUUAAAACACGUUAUAACAUGUUUUCCCUCGGUCUGUGGUUUUAAUACAAGCGGUUACACCACACAGUUAGCUUACACACAGGAACUUCAGCUAAUAUUACAAGCUUUCUCCUCAUAUAUGUGAUAUUUACCGAACGUGGACAUGUUUGCAAUUAGCUACUAAGAUUAUUUUAACACUAAGAUAUAAAGUUUACCUCAAAUUAUGAAUGCUAACUGUGUUAGCAGCGACUUCGUACCGUGUAUCCAGGAGCCUGCUGCGGUCAGGUAGCCGGUGUAGGCGGCAGUGCAUAGCAAAGACUCUCUACAGUUGUUCUUGUUAUUACAGCCUGUUUGCUGCACAAAGCUCAGGCAUUUUAACACUAACUGAUGGAUUACCUGUCCCUGUCGGAGCAGAGAGGAGGAGCCACCGACUCCACGGCCGGCUUCUCCUAUUGGUGCAUCAAUGACCCUGUCAGUCCUCACCACAGCUGCUGCCGUUUCAGCAUCAGAGGAAGAGAGUCUAAGAGCCCGGCCGCACAUCAUUAGUGGCGGCUGACAUGAUAGGCAGCUCGCCUCUGUACCUCCUUUGUGAACAUUUGUGUGUAAUCUGUGAUUUGGUUUGAGAUGCUGGUAGUGAUUGUUGGGGACUGGGCUAGGUUUAAAAUUCUGAUUGUGCAUCACACCCUUAGAAAAAGACUGUUGGACACAUUAGGAACAGGGGUGCUGCUUCUUGUGUUUUUGGGUUGGUUAGAAUCACAUAGUUAGGCUCUUUGUUGGCUCCUGUUCCCCUACUUCAGUUAUCCUCUUGCCUUGUUUGUAUUUUUGUUUACUUAUUUACCCUCCUGGUUAAGAAAUAAACGAAAUCAGUAAAUUUGAUUUACCAAUAACACCUGGUUUUAUGUUGCUUCCCUUUUCCCCAGCUGGGUCAUAACACAAAGACUGCCAACAUACUGUGACUGGUGAACUGACACCUGGCUCUGUGAGCAGUCCACAGUCAGUGACAAAGAAGCUGCUGGUGCUGCUUCUGAAACAGUUGCCUGGGUUACCAAUGUUGGUGUGUUGGCUUUCCAGGAUGGCGGCCAGAUUGAUGACACCACAUCUUGGAGGUGGACCCCCGGAGGUUCCUGUUUUCACAUUGAGGCAUAGCGGUCCUCACUGGAGGGGAAGCACAGGAUGCUCGGCCUGACUGUUGCCAAGGUGAUCAGGAGGAUCUCCUGGGAGGAGUGGAGGCUCCACUGUUGGAGGAGGACACAUGGGGCAGAGGAGACGCUCCUCCUCAUCCAGGAUCUCCACGUCACCCUGGACGUCUCUUUGCUGGAUUGUCUCUGCAUCCAGGACACAUGGAGACACAGAGGAGCCUCAGCUGCAUUCAGGACCCAGCAGGUGCAGCUGUACAGAGACAGGUAGACUGACAGAGGGCGGGGUCAGCCUUCAGGUUUCCACCUUCACCACUUCAUCCCAGCCAGAGCCAAGUACUUCCAAGCUCCUGGCAACACCUGCCAGACAGAGCAGGAGGAAGAGCGAGUGGUCUUCCCUCCCAGAGACCAGGAGAGGCAGCCCAGGUGACAGCUCAAGGCAGCAACGGGGAAGAACACCUCCUGUCCUGGGAAGGAGAGUCUCCAGAGCUGUCUUCUUGGACUGAACUCUGGCCCUGCAAACUGGGCCAGUGUUAGCCGCCUGGUGGAGGCCGUUUGCAACCGGCUCUGCGUCUUCACCCGGUGGCCACGUGGUCCAGAGGGACCGUGAGGACUCGCUGGUCAUUCAAUCUCAAGGAUCAUGUGGCAUCAGAGAGGCAGUGCUGGCCGGCCCCAGGUUGAUGGCUCAGACCAACAUCCAGCUCCAGCUGAAAAUCCUAAAACAGUCUGUGUUUGUCUGUGUUCCAGGUGCUGGCCAGACUCUCCCUUCAGCAAAGGGUCAGUCCUUGGUCCAGGUGGGACAAGGACAGACCUUUAGCUUCAAUGUCCCGGAGGAGCAGCCUGGGCCCUCCAGCAGGGGUCUGCCUUCUCCUCCUCCUCCUCCUCCUCCUCCAGACGAUGAACAGCAUGGCCCCUCAUCCAGUGCUGUUGGUCCUCCCCUCGCUCCAGCACCACUCCCCUCUUCUGUUCCUCCACCUCCUCUGACUGGACCACCUGUACCCAGGACCAGAGCCUACAGGAAGAGGAAGGUGACCUGAAGCUGCUGUGGCAGAGCGGGGGCGGCUGCCUGGAGGAGAAACCCGCCGGCUGGCACACACUCUUUAGUGUGAACUGAACACUGACAGUUCAGAUGGUGAAGCAGGUGUCAGUGUAGUACAGCUCAUGUUCAUUAGUUUAAUUCACAACUUCAUUGUUGUCAUUGAAAAGAUGUUUAAUAAAUAAACCGGAGAGUAAAAUUGUA